UUUAAUAUACCGAACGAAACCUUACAUGGAUGUUACAAAAACACCGGAAAUCCAAGUUCAGUACAUGAAACACUCACUAGGUACUAGUUUGAGCUCACGUAACAAGCCAAGGGUUGAGUUUAGCUCCUAUUGACUUAGCUUCCCACUUCUCUCAUGUAUAAGUAAAAGGCUAGUGAAUUAAAAAUACAACUAGCUGCAGAUUAUUAACCCAAUACGAAUCACAGAUAAAUAAAUUCUGGAGUUAUGCUCACAACAGAAAUAUAUGCGCAGGUAUGCAAUGAUAUCCCUUCACUCGGGGUACAGCAAUAUAUCUUCUAGCCAUGAAACCGUACCCUAAUUCUCCUUUCUUCCUCUUGCCGAAGAGAAGUUGGCUGCAGAGGAUGGUCCAACUCAGAUCAGCCUGCAGAAGUUCAUUGUAUAAUUCUGUUUAGUUCCAAGCAUAUACGAAUACUCUUCAGAGUGGGCACAAAGAUGGAAGCAAACUAAUAGCUCAAAGUGAAUAGCAAAUUGGCUACUGAAACUAUACUGAAACCAUACUGAAACUACUCCUUGCAAGCAAACUGAAACUACUCCUUGGAAGCAAAUUGUCUUGGAAGCAGUAUUGUGUGCACAAAUCUACUCCAGCUAGUUUAUAAAAAAAAUGAAAUGACAGUCUUUUCCUAACAAUACAUCAAAACUAGCUACAGAAAGAUAAAAAGUAGAAUUAGGAUAUAACCACUUUCCAGAGUAUAUAUAGAAAGGAAAGGCACACGCUUUGUUCCACUCUGAAUACAGCUAGUGACCACAAAGGUGUUGCUUUCAAAAUAUUAAUACUAAUGGCAUUUUCCCCCUUUUGACUCUGUAUUGUUGGACUGAUUUGGUUGAUGCCAGGCAGGUAAUAUAUUAUAUAUGUCAAAGAAGAAGUAGCAGUGUUGGUUAUUUUUGCUAAAGAAGAAUGUGAUGGUUGAUUACAGGACUAAGUUUGUAAAUAUGCUUGCAGCUGUGUUUUUUAGCACUGGACUCGACUGGUAGUUUAGUACAGUCAUUGCUGGUUUUAAAAUGCAAGGAAUCACAUGCAUAAAUGUGGGGAAACAUAAGUAGAUUUCUGAGCCUGUGAGGAAGGAAACCUAGUGAAGUGGAUAGUAGGUUAGGUUGGUACAGAAAGAAAAGUGGAGGCAGCCUAACAUAACAGGUUACUUGAGCUACCGGCACCGGACGUUCUUGAUGACCCGAGAGCAGUACAACAAGCAAGAUUGCUAAAAUGUUUCCUCUUUGUUCGUGCUAAAAUGAAAAUAAUAACUAGGAGUGACAUACAGAAUUGAUGCUUUGUUAUAUAAGACGAGCAUUAACUUUAUUCUCUUCAUCUGAUUCAGAUAUUGUUGGGUCAAAACGUUUGUACUAGUGAUCAAACACUCAGCUAACUACUGAUGUAUUCCUUAUGAAUGGGGUUCUAUGAAAAUUUCCCUAAAUGGUGUUUGGAUUAGAGGAAUGGCUUUGACAUAUUCUGAAGAAAAUAGAUAUUUAAUAUCCACUCAUAUACUACUAUAUUAGGAUUUUUUGUAUCAAGAGCAGAUAGAUAAAUAUGUACAUGAUACAUCUCUUGCCCCUUGCCUACAGGUUGGAAGCUCUUACUACUUGUCGCUGCCACGCUGACCCUGCAAUAUAGUACUGCCGCUUAUGGGGCUGGGUACCGAAGCGGGCCGGACUCUAGAAAAUGAAGCUUUUUCCGAUGUCCAAAUUUCAGGUAACCCCGCAAGAGAGACCGCAGUGCACCCCCAUUCAGUGUCGAGCAAUUGUUCUCGUCACCACGUUCUGAACUUGUUGCUAAAGGAAAACCACAGGAAUGCUCAUGUGCUCUGCUCUCAUCAACACGAUGUGCGUGCCAACACAGGUUGCUCAUGUUGAACUUCUUGCCGCGGCUCCUUACUUUCUCUACGGUCAGAAUAGAGACAUGGCACAGGAGGUGGACAGCGUGCGGCGAGGCUCGUGGGCACUGCCGCAGUCUGAUCAGCGGUGCUUGGGAUAACCUCUAUGGUAGAGGCGGUGGGGAGGAGCGAGUCGCUGGCUCGGAGAAGGUAGAGAUGGCGUGGAGGAUAGCAAGGUCCUCGACGGGAGCUUGUCAUGAUCUUCAGGCCGUAGGGAAGAAGGGAUUACUGGGAGAGGCCGACGGGGGCGGCCGACGGGGGCGACGGGUGCAUGGGACAGAGGGGGGAACGGGGGGUGGAGGAGGCUCACCACGGGGAGGGUCGGAGGAGAGCUCGACGAGGCUGGGGACGGGCAAGAGCAGCGGUUGGGGCGACGAGAUGUGGGCGGCCGAACGAAGAAGGCGGCGACGGCGGCGGCUAUGCGAGACACCG
rnacentral:lncRNA from 1 species